rnacentral:rRNA from 1 species
UACCUGGGGUGCAAACGUUGCUCGGAAUUAUUGGGCGUAAAGCGCACGUAGGCGGUUUGUUAAGUCGGAUGUGAAAUCCCUCGGCUCAACUGAGGAAGUGCAUCCGAAACUGGCAAGCUUGAGUACGAAAGAGGGUCGCGGAAUUCCCGGUGUAGAGGUGAAAUUCGUAGAUAUCGGGAGGAACACCGGUGGCGAAGGCGGCGACCUGGGUCGAUACUGACGCUGAGGUGCGAAAGCGUGGGGAGCAAACAGG